CCUACGGGCGGCAGCAGUGAGGAAUAUUGGUCAAUGGACGCAAGUCUGAACCAGCCAUGCCGCGUGCAGGAAGACGGCUCUAUGAGUUGUAAACUGCUUUUGUACGAGGGUAAACGCAGAUACGCGUAUCUGUCUGAAAGUAUCGUACGAAUAAGGAUCGGCUAACUCGGUGCCAGCAGCCGCGGUAAUACGGAGGAUUCAAGCGUUAUCCGGAUUUAUUGGGUUUAAAGGGUGCGUAGGCGGUCGGAUAAGUUAGAGGUGAAAUCCCGAGGCUCAACUUCGGAAUUGCCUUUGAUACUGUUCGGCUGGAGAGUAGUUGCGGUAGGCGGAAUGUAUGGUGUAGCGGUGAAAUGCUUAGAGAUAAUACAGAACACCGAUUGCGAGGGCAGCUUACCAAGCUACUUCUGACGUUGAGGAACGAAGGCGUGGGGAGAAAAAAGGAUUAGAACCCUUGUAGUC
rnacentral:rRNA from 1 species